ACUAUGCCUAGCCCUAAACCUCAGUAGUUGAACAACAAAACUACUCGCCAGAAUACUACAAGCAACAGCUUGAAACUCAAAGGACUUGACGGUGCUUUACACCCCCUAGAGGAGCCUGUUCCAUAAUCGAUAAACCCCGAUCCACCCUACCCUCUCUUGCUCAGCCUAUAUACCGCCAUCUUCAGCAAACCCUGAUGAAGGCCACAAAGUGAGCGCAAAUGCCCACACCGCAAAAACGUUAGGUCAAGGUGUAGCCCAUGAGACGGUAAAAAAUGGGCUACAUUUUCUGCCUCAGAAUACCCCACGAAAACUCUUAUGAAACCUAAGAGUCCAAGGAGGAUUUAGCAGUAAAUUAAGAAUAGAGUGCUUAAUUGAACCAGGCCAUAAAGCGCGCACACACCGCCCGUCACUCCCCUCAAAUAUAUUUAAGGAAUACCCUAACUAAACACUCCAAUAUUUAUAUAGAGGGGAUAAGUCGUAACAUGGUAAGUGUACUGGAAGGUGCGCUUGGAUAAAU
rnacentral:rRNA from 1 species